rnacentral:lncRNA from 1 species
GAUGAAGUCGCCGCAACGGAGGAUGAGGUUGCGGAGGGAGGGGUGGAGGGGGUCGAGAAGGCCGGCCCAGUCGUUGUGGCCCAGAAGUUCAGCCCAGGUGGGUUGGGAGGCCAUGGUAGGAAGAAAGUGUGUCUGAGUGUGUGGUGUUGAAAGAGAUAGAGAGAUUGAGAUGUGGGUGAUGAAGUGUGAGUGUGUUUAGCGAGAGUCUUACAAUGAUGGAUAUAUAUAUGGAUGGAUGUCGCUUACCCUCCUUUCACGUCCUCUAGUGUCUCAAUGGUUGUUCUCUGUUUCCUUUUUCACGUGUAUCAUUUCUCUAUGCGCAUCCUUUUUCCUUAAUUUUACAUGUAUAAUAACUUCAUUUAUUUAUUUUUAGUUUAUCUUUCUCUAAAUACAAAUAUAUUUUUAAUCACGUAUUUUAUCCUCUCACUAUUUUAUUAUAUUAUUAUUAUUAUCAAAAAAUUCCAAAAUAUCACAUUUUUUUAGUGUUCAUUGAUUAAUGCAUAAAAUUCGUAAUAUAUAUAUAUAUAUAUAUAUAUAUAUAUAUAUAUAUAUAUAUAUAUAUAUAUAUAUAUAUAUAUAUAUAUAUAUAUUUUAUGGGGAACGAGAUUCGAUAUCAACACUCCUCUUGAAUGCUCUUCCUUCUCUGAAACGAACCACACUUCACUCCUCACAACGCUACCCUCCUCCGAUCGGCUAAUUUCUAACACCCUGUGGAGGUAGACUUGCAGAAAACAUUUUGACACUCAAGUCAGAUACGUCUGAUCAUUCACCUUGUAUUUAUAGGCUUUGCAAUUGUCCAGCCCAUUGAAUGUCAUUAAUGCAAUCAUUCAUAAACAUAAUAUAUACGUACGAUAAUUACUUACAUUAAUUACCCAUUAAUGCUUUUCAAUGGGCCUAUGAUGCCGGUUGACACCUUCGCCCAGAUAGCCGAUCGACACCCUCGUCUAGAUGGUCGGUCGUCUUUCUUCAGUUUUGUCUCACUAGUGCAAAAACGCUGAUUAACGUCACCCCUUAGACGUCGAUUAGGGGUAAGCUCAACGUAUAAUGAUGACCGGUGACAUUUCCGUAAAUAAGUUUGCCAUAUAAACGUCAAUUAGGAGGUGCCCUGACGUCUAUACUCUUUUAUACGUCGGGAACCCUCCAACUGACGUCUACAUGUCUGACAGGUGGGUGAAAAGUCAUUUCUUUUCAGACAUAUAGACGUCUGUUAUAGGGGGGCCCAACGUCUAUAUGGCAGAAAUUAAUGCUUUUCACCUACUUGUCAGACAUAUCGACGUUAGUUCGUACAACCCUAACAUCUAUAUGUCUGCCAGGUUGAUGAAUAGUCACUCUUUUCUGCCUUGUAGACGUCGGAUCUCUCCAAAUUGACUUCUAUAUGGCUAACAUUAAUGGCUAUUCACCUACCUCUCAGAGAUAUAGACGUCGUCUUGGAGAUAACCGACGUCUAUAUGUCAGUCAGGCAGGUGAAAAGUCAUUCCUUUUCGUCGUAUAGACGUCGAGUUCCCCAACUCUGACGUCUAUGAUCGUAUAUAGACGUCAGUUGCGCUAGUAAUCGAUGUCUAUAAGCCCCGCGAAUAUUAAUUUUUAAAUCAGAAAGAUGUCUUAUUAGUUAGGUCCCCGAUGUCUUGUCCAUUAUAGACGUCGGUUGCCCAGAGCAACCGAUGUCUGAUUUCUUGUUAAAACAGCGAUUGCGAAGCACCAGUUUCGCACACUUCAUCGUCUUCUUGGAUUUUCUCUCCGCUCCAUUGAAUUUACAGGUGCCUUUAAUCCCUUUUGAUAUGGUUAAACUUGCUUUUAAUCCGAUUAAAGUAAUCUUUGAUAUAUUAUCUUUCAUUUGAACCGAUUAAAAUGUAUUAUUGUUGUGUUUUGGUGCGGUUUUUCUUGUGUCUUUGGGUAGCGUAGUGCACCUUCUCCCUUUCCUAGUUUCCUCCUAAGAAAAAAUUUCGUUUUUUGGAUUUCUUAUGACAUUCAACCCGAACACGAACCUAGGUCAUGGCAUAGAGCCAUUCCCACCGUCAAUGAAAAAGAAAAUGGUGAGAAUACGAUGUCACUGUAUGUGAGAAUACGGUCACCGUAUUCUUUUUCAUUGGCGGUCGGAGUGGACCUAGGCAACGACCCAGGUUCGUCUUAGGGUUGAAAUGCCAUAAGAAAUUCAAAAGAUGCAAUUUUUUCUUACGAGGAAACUAAAAAGGGAAGGAGGUGCUACUACGCUACCCAAAGACACGAGAAAACCGCAUCAAAACACAACAAUUCAUAGACGUCGGUUAAUGUAAUGACCGACGUCUAUAGUGCCCAUAGAUGUCGGUUAAUGCAAUGUCCGACGUCUAUGGACUUUAUAGACGUUGGGUAAUGCAAUGUUUGACAACUUUAUAGACGUCUGACGUGUCACUGAACCGACGUCUCGUGUGCCCUUAGACGUCCGUUAGUAUAAUGUCUGAUGUCUUUAUAGACGUCGCGCUUUGGCCUAGCCGACGUCUAUAGUGAUGUCGCUCCUGCAGAAGUCCGACGUCCCAUUAACGUCUUCCGUAAAGAAGUCAGUUCGUUAGGUGAUGUUAAAGGCCAAAAUAAUCGACGUCUAAAGCCCAUUAUUAACUAGUGUCUGUAUAGUAUCACUACAAGAAAAAUGUCAUUUACAUACAAAUUAUGAUUCGUACAUAAGAAUCCCAUUAUAUACGGAUUUUACAUACGGAUAAGUUAUAUACGGAUUUUUCUAUAUAUAAUGGUAAAUAAAUUUAUAUACGUAUUUUUUGUAUGUAAAAUCCAUAUGUAAGUGGGUUUCUCUUUACAUAGAAAUAUUACAUACGAAUUUUAAAAUAAUUAAUUAUUUUAAAAAGUAAAAGUUAUUUGCUUUAAGAAUUUUCAAACCCUAACAUCUGCUUCACUCUUCUCUCUCGAAAAAUGACAAAGACCUUUUUUCCUUCUUCUAAACCUUUGUCGUCGCCAGCUUCCUUGGCCUCACCGCACCUUUUCCAGCUGGCUAAAUUCACCUCCAGCAUCGGUCACUGCCGUAAUGUCACUGACAUUAAUCAAUGUUGUGAACUACCUUUCUUCUCAUUUCUCCCAACUCGCGAAAAACCAUUCUUGGACCUUCCAUAGUCGACUAACAUUGUCGAUAAUAACACUAAUCCUUACCAGAGGCAUCGCCAGCGAGAAACAAGUGUGCACGGUUCUCUUCUCAUUCCCCCAACACGCCAACCAAAGAAUAGACCCAAACCCCGCGAUGGUUGGUCGACAUACACCAUGUUAUUUACUACUUUUUUUAAUAUAAUGACUUUGGUUGAUAAUAGAUGAAAAUUAACUGCAUUUAUUUAUAUUAAAUCUUAAGAAGAUUUAUAACAGGAUACCUUUGAAGUUUUUUUUUAAUGUCUUUUUAAAAGAAAAUAUAUUAGUUUGUGGAAAUAUAUUAAUCAUUCAGAUAGUCUUUAUUUUCAGUGACUUUUCUCAAAUAGGUCUUUCACUUAUUUUUUGUUUGCAAUGGAUCCUUAGUUUUGAAAAAUCGAAGCAAUUAGGUCAUUGUCGUUAGUUCUGUAUUAACACGGUUAAAGAUUUGUCACAUGUUAGGUCGUGUUUUUUUUUUUUAAUUUUUUAAAUUAUUUUUAUCUUUAUUUUUAUUUUUAUUUUCAAUUUUUUUUAAAAAAUAAUUGUUACGUGUCAAGCUAACAUUGUGUCAUGUGGCAUUGAUAGUGUGACGUGGCAUUGACAGUACCACGUGUCAUUGCCAGGUCACAUGUCAUUACAUUUGUCUCAAUUUAUUCCCUGUAUUCUUUUGUUUCAAUUUGGUCCUUAUAUUUUUGUUUUAUCUCAAUUUAGUUCUAAUUUUUUUAAAAUUAAACAAUUUUGUUCCUCCUCAGAUUAAAAAAAAAAUUAAUUUGAAUAUAAAUAUAUACAAAUAUUUUUAAAAAAUUGAAAAAAACUUAUAUGAUAAUCCUAAUUAAUGUGUUUUAAAAAAUAACUAACGAAAUAAUUGAUAUUAUUGUGUUUUAUGAGAAAAUGGUCAUAAAUGUCACUACAAUAAUAGUUUACUUUAUUAAGGAUUAUUGAAAUGUUAACUUUUAUAGUUUGCUUAUUCAUAUUAUUUAGGUCAAAUGAUUUCAUUUUUUGUUUAAUUUUGUAGAAAAAAUUUAAAUGAGUUUCUUUUUAUUUGUCUCAAUUUAGUUUUUGUUUUGAAAACUUUAAUGCAAUUAAGUUAUUUUCGAGAUAGUACUACAUAAAUAAAAAUGUGUCAUAUGUUUGUUCAUAAUUAUUUUAUUUUUCUAAUAAAAUAUAUCAAUUUGUAUAGAAAAAUUUGUAGAGAUUUAUAUACAAAUUAAAUUUUGUUUGAAUUUGGAGAGGAACAAAAGUAUGUAACAUUGUAGUGGUCUUGCCGUAGCGACUGAAGCUGUAGAACGGUGAGUUCUUGUCGUCGUUGAAGGCGUCGUAGGAAACCUGGAUGAAGUCACCGCAACGGAGGAUGAGGUGGAGGGGGUUGAGAAGGCCGGCCCAGUCGUUGUGCCCAGAAGUUUAGUCCAGGUGGGUUGGGAGGCCAUGGUAGGAAGAAAGUGUGUGUGAUUGUGUGGUGUUGAAAGAGAUAGAGAGAUUGAGAUGUGGGUGAUGAAGUGUGAGUGUGUUUUGCGAGAGUGUUACCAUGAUGGAUAUAUAUGGAUGGAUGUCGCUUACCCUCCUUUCACGUC